rnacentral:rRNA from 1 species
AUGGAACCGCCACCUUCACAACAGAACAUCACGAGCGAGUGGUCGAUGGACUGCCAAUGCUGCUCCAAAGGGGCUGACCUUCACCUCCCCGUGUCCCUGAACAAGAUGGACCAACGAGUUGUGACCAUGUCCUCUGCGAGAAGUGCAUCAAGGUGGCCAUCAAAUUGUCGCUGCUACUACUGCUCGACCUGUGCUCUGAACGGGGCUGACACCGCGUGCUGCUUGCCAUUGGUGCAGGCCAUGGAGCUUCUGCUUGCCAUGCGUGCCUCCUUCCUUCGGCAGAAGCACCAGGUCGCCACUGGAGCCGGACAAGGUCAUGAUGACUUGCCUUACCUGGUGAGGUAUUGGCUAGGAAGAGUGCAAGCCGCCACCACCAUGUACCAGAUGGCGCCAUCAAGGACAUCAUACUGCUGA